rnacentral:rRNA from 1 species
GGAUGAACGCUGGCGGCGUGCCUAAUACAUGCAAGUCGAGCGAACAGACGAGGAGCUUGCUCCUCUGACGUUAGCGGCGGACGGGUGAGUAACACGUGGAUAACCUACCUAUAAGACUGGGAUAACUUCGGGAAACCGGAGCUAAUACCGGAUAAUAUAUUGAACCGCAUGGUUCAAUAGUGAAAGACGGUUUUGCUGUCACUUAUAGAUGGAUCCGCGCCGCAUUAGCUAGUUGGUAAGGUAACGGCUUACCAGGGCAACGAUGCGUAGCCGACCUGAGAGGGUGAUCGGACACACUGGAACUGAGACACGGUCCAGACUCCUACGGGAGGCAGCAGUAGGGAAUCUUCCGCAAUGGGCGAAAGCCUGACGGAGCAACGCCGCGUGAGUGAUGAAGGUCUUCGGAUCGUAAAACUCUGUUAUUAGGGAAGAACAAAUGUGUAAGUAACUAUGCACGUCUUGACGGUACCUAAUCAGAAAGCCACGGCUAACUACGUG